CAGCAUAGUUCCAUCGGCAGAGCAUGAGACCCUUAAUCUCAGGGUUGUGGGUUCAAGCCCCACGGGUGAAAGA